GUGGCCGGCGGCCGCGGUAGAAGCGCCCUGGCCCGCGGCAGGAAGAAGAAAAAGAAACAGCAGCCCUUAGCCCUCAGCCUCUGAAAACCGCGAAGACAAUCUGGAAUAACAAUACCCACGCUUGCUUUGCUGCUUGACACCUUCUGCCCAGCAUCUGAAGUGAACCUCAAUCAUCAAUUGCUUUGUUUUUGGCCCGGGUCCAAGGCGUUCUGCCUUCUGUUGACUUGAGGCUGGAGAGAGACUGGUCUUGCUUGCUGUUGCCAACUUGUGAACCAGUGUGAUGGUGAAAUGAGAUGAGGCUCCGAAAUGGAACUGUGGCCACUGCGCUGGUGUUUGUCACGUCCUUCCUUACCCUGUCCUGGUAUACCACAUGGCAAAAUGGGAAAGAAAAAUUAAUUGCUUACCAACGAGAAUUCCUCGCUUGAAAAGAACGUCUUCGAGUGGCCGAACAUAGGAUAUCUCAGCGCUCCUCUGAGCUAAACACCAUUGUCCAACAGUUCCGCCGAGCUGGAGCGGAGACUAAUGGAAGUAAGGCUGGUCUGAGUACGUUCUAAGAUAAUACCAUAAAGCUUCUAAAAGAGUUGACAAGCAAAAAAUCACUUCAAGUGCCAAGUAUUUAUUAUCAUUUGCCUCAUCUAUUGCAAAAUGAAAGAAGCCUUCAGCCCGCCGUACAGAUUGGCAGUGGAAGAACGGGAGUUUCAAUAGUCAUGGGGAUUCCUACUGUAAAGAGAGAAGUUAAAUCUUACCUCAUAGAGACCCUUCACUCCCUUAUUGAUAAUCUGUAUCCUGAAGAGAAGCUGGACUGUGUUAUAGUUGUCUUCAUAGGAGAGACAGAUCUUGAUUAUGUUCACAGCGUUGUUGCCAACCUGGAGAAAGAAUUUUCUAGAGAAAUUAGUUCCGGCUUGCUAGAAGUAAUCUCUCCUCCUGAAAGCUAUUACCCCGACUUAACAAACCUGAAGGAGACGUCCGGAGACUCCAAGGAAAGAGUAAGAUGGAGAAGGAGAACGAAGCAAAACCUGGACUAUUGUUUUCUGAUGAUGUAUGCUCAGGAGAAGGGCAUUUACUACAUUCAGCUUGAAGAUGAUAUUAUUGUCAAGCAAAACUAUUUUAAUACCAUAAAAAAUUUUGCACUUCAACUUUCUUCUGAAGAAUGGAUGAUUCUAGAGUUUUCCCAGCUGGGCUUCAUUGGGAAGAUGUUCCAGGCGCCGGACCUAGCUCUGGUUGUGGAGUUCAUUCUCAUGUUCUAUAAGGAGAAGCCCAUUGACUGGCUCUUGGACCACAUUCUCUGGGUGAAGAUCUGCAACCCCGAAAAAGAUGCCAAACACUGUGACAGACAGAAGGCAAACCUACGAAUCCGCUUCCGACCCUCCCUCUUCCAGCACGUGGGUCUACACUCAUCUCUGUCGGGGAAAAUUCAGAAACUUACGGAUAAAGAUUACAUGAAACCAUUGCUUCUCAAGAUCCACGUGAACCUGCCUGCAGAGGUCUCCACUUCCCUGAAGGUGUACCAAGGGCACACACUGGAGAAGACCUACAUGGGGGAAGACUUCUUUUGGGCCAUCACCCCCACAGCUGGAGACUACAUCUUGUUUAAAUUCGACAAACCGGUCAAUGUGGAGAGUUAUUUGUUCCACAGCGGCAAUCAAGAGCACCCAGGGGACAUCCUGCUGAACACGACCGUGGAGGUUCUGCCUCUUAAGAGCGACAGUUUGGAGAUCAGCAAAGAAAUCAAAGACAAACGAUUAGAAGAUGGCUAUUUCAGAAUAGGGAAAUUUGAGUACGGAGUUGCAGAGGGAAUUGUGGAUCCUGGACUGAACCCUAUCUCAGCCUUUCGACUGUCGGUUAUUCAGAACUCUGCUGUCUGGGCCAUUCUCAAUGAGAUUCAUAUUAAGAAAGUCACCAGUUGAUCUGCUUAGAAACCAGCACGUCCUUUCUUGUGACUCUUGAUUAAAGAUACUGAGCACACCGUCCUCUUCUGCUGUGACUUGAACACUACCUCUCGUGAAGCCUACUGUAGAUAAGACGAUUACCAUCUCCACUUGGGCAGGGACCCUUCCCACCGACAACUGCAUUCAUUUGAAACGAGGCUGUCCUCCAAAUUUGAACUUGACACAAACAUUUUACAAUACUGACAGCCUGGUAACACGCCUGAGACUAUUUUGGUAUUAUACUAAUACACAAGAGUUGUACAUAUUGUUACAUUCCUUAAAAUUUGAGAAAACUGAUGUUAAAUACAUUUUGUGAAGGGGGUACUUUUGAAGUUCACUUAUUUUACUAUUAUAGACCCUCUUUUAUAGACGAUCAGGGAUGUUAUAUAUAUAAAUAUAAAUAUAUAAAUACACAUGAAGAUGUUAUGAAGUUAAUUUAUUAGAAGUACUUAAGAAGUACAUAUUUUUGUGCAGUAAAGUUUUGAAUCAACACCUUUUUUUGAAGAAGCAGUUCCUGGCUUUUUUAAGUUCCUUCUAUAUUUUUAUUUGUAGAUGCAGACAUUCUAGAUCAAUGCCAUUUUUUCCAGUGCACUGCCAUUCCAGAUUGGUUCUAGAUGGGUUUCUUAACUUGAAGUACUUUUAUAAUCACAGCAAUUCUGAACAAAAUAUUUUCAGAGGCAUUUGUCAUUCCUAAAAAAAAACAAUCAAGAUUUUAAAAGACCAGUGCCCUCUGGAGGGUUAUAUUACCGUACUGUGUGUGGUGUGUAGCCACAGAAACCCGUGUGAUUGUCAGUGUCGGGUGGGAGGCCCUGCCUCGUCUCCAUACACUCCUUCACCCCCUCAUAGUUCCCUCCAUGUGGGUGACGAGACUCCUUUCCCUUUUGCUCUGUCUUUAAUCAGUAGUUAGACACACUGUCUUCUUUUCUCUCUGGUCCUUUUAUAGACCUGUGGUGGGUUUUGACGUUCAGAUAAUGUUUCCUGGGUAAUGCUGUUGGAUGAGUCAUAUUGGGUAUAAUUUUACAACCAACAUUGUUAUGUGGGGCUCUGGUGAAAGACAACCGUAGCGCUUCUAGGUUUCCACAGCAUGUUUGCUCUGCUAUGUCCUGAAUGCAAGGGUGAAUGCGUGUGCAGUCCCAAGAAGUGCUAGUUGGCAAAAGUGCUUUACUCUUACACUUAGGAAGGCCGGGCAAGUUGCCAGUCUUCUCUGGCUCUCCAGGAGCUGCGCAUGCCCAGCAGGUGUGGGGGCCUAGGUGUGGAAGUUCCCAGCUGGUGGCCUCCACCCUGGAACUUUCUUAGUUGCCCAGUGUAUGGAACACAGUACAAAGCAGCAGCCAUUUUGUAUGUUCUGACUGGGGAAACGUAGAUAAACACUACUGUGCAUGUCAAAGCCCAGCUGAAGCUUUUCUUGGUGUUUUGUAAACUUUGUAAACAUGGUGUUUUGUUCAAGUUUUUAAUUUCUUCUCUGAUUUCCUUUGCCCUGUGCCCACAAGCACAUCCUUAGAAUAUUUAAGCACUAUCUUCCCACACUCAAGUGUGCAGCAGGGUAACAGACUGAAACCAUGCGGAUGGAUGCAGGGGCCCUUUUAGGUCUCUGCUUUCUCAGUGGCUGCAAGUUCAGAGCUUUGAAAAUCUAGUGGGUCACUUGACUGUCUCCUGCGUGGGUCUUUGAGCUGUCCUCCCGCCAGGCUCCUCUCAUUUGUCUUGCCUGUAGGGACUCUUAGCCAAGUCCUUUCCUUCAUUCCAGGAAUCCCUUUUCCCUUUGUGCGCUUACUCCCAGUGCCUAGAACAUGCCUGAGCCUCGGCAGGUUCUUUUAGCAUCUGGAUGAGUGGAUUAACUAGCCAGGUUGCUCACAUCUCUCUCCGAGCACUAUUUGCCUGCUAUCUUGUCAUGCAUGGGCACACACACUCCGUGUCUAGUCUUCAUUCUGUGUGGUGUGUGUUCUCCAACACAAUCCGAGCUCUGGAGUUCUCCUGUCUUCCACGUCAGGUGCUCAUUUGAUCCACCAGUGUUAGUUGCUCUCACUUUUGUGCCCAGUUCAGCACUAGACUAUCAGAAACAGUUUGGUUGGCCCAAGCAAGAUUUUUGUGGGAGCCCUGGAGAUUUGUGAAGGUAAAGACUAGAGGAGGUGAAGCCAGUUGGUACCAGUGUAUUUCAGAUACUCCAGACUCUAGAGUGGUGCUGGCCUCUACAGAAGCCACACAUCUGUUGAAAUGAAAUGUUGAGUUCUGUGCCCAUGUUGGCAGCAUUUGGAGUGGUCAGCGGCCACAUGGCCAGCAGCCACCAUAUUGGAUUCCAGAAAUAUGGGACAUUGACAUCAUGGUGGGAGGUUCUGCUGGUCAUAAAUAUAAGCAUUCUAGAAAGGAGUGAUGCAUCCUGCUGCUGUGAUUAAAAGUAGACCUAUGGAUUCAUGGUAGUAUAGGUGAAGGUGUGUAUUUUGAUGGGAUGGCCAAAAUUGCCUGGCUACAUGUUAGCAUUAUGAUUCUUCCCAGCAUGCAUUGUUUCAGUGUCCCCAAGAGGUACAUUUGAAAAGCAUGAGAAGUGAAUACAGGUGGAUGAUUUAGUUUGUAGCCUAGAUGUGUGUUAUGUCUGUCAGAGUGUGUUUGAACAAAUGUCAUUGGCUACUUGCAAAAGAUUAUUUCAAAAGCUGUCAGGAAAAGUUGAGAGACUAGAGUUCUUUUUAGUCUUUCAGAAUUAUAGGAACUAUAGUUCUCAACAGUGCUGUCCCUCAAGGAAGUUUGCUUAUGUGGAAAGAGGUGUUGUUAGCAAAGGUUUUUCCAGUUAAUAAGUGUGUAUCUGUCAUAUGCAGGAUUCUAAGAAUGACCCCUCCCAUGACUUUGUAUAAUAUCCUCCCCUUCUGAGUAUAGCGACAACUGUGACCAUGUCAUGUCUUGUUACUUAACAAAAGGGAGAUUACCUGUCAGUGGCUGAUCCAAUGUUGAGUGUCAUGUCAGGCUGGUACAAGUGAGAGACAGCAGCAGUAGAACUCUGAACAGCAUUGCUGGGCCUGCCUUAAGGAGCCAGAGGCUUUGUUACCCACUGAGUGGGAGCUGCAGACCUUUUGCCACAGGACCAUUUGACCCAGACACUUAACCGGUUUGGACAUGGAAAUGCUUGGGCGAGCAGUCAGCUGGGUAAACCUUCCCUGCAGCUUUGUAAGCGGGGCCCUACCUAGGCUUCUGAUGUGCAGCAGUGGGUAAGAAAUUGGCAGUGCUGUAUGUGGCUAGGUUUGUGUUUUGUAAAAAGUAACAAUCUCAGUCCUGAGAAGGCUUCAUAUGUGAUUGCCUGCAGUGACUGGUUUUUAAGACAAGGUCUCAUCUUGCACCCCAGGCUGGUUCUCCCAGUUCUGCCCCUCAAGUGUCGAUGUGCAUCACCAUGCCCAGUUGACUGAUGGCUUUUGACAUAAGAAUAAACUUGUUCCUAGCAAGCCCUAUUCCUGGCUCUCUGCUAGGAUGCUUGGUGCCAGGACCCGUCUCCACUACUAGCCAGACUUGCGUUAUUUUUUGUUGUGUAAAACUGGCAGGAUGAAGCUGGAGGUGUGGGCUGUAGGCAUCUUCUCCUAGAUACUCCUAAGUUGUACUGACUUAAAGGCCUGCCGGAAGUAGGGGGAAGAAUGAGGAACAACAGUAUUUUAGAUCAGAUCAACAAGAAGAAAAAUUCCCACCGUCAUGUCGAUUUGCUGGUGUCGAUUUGCUGGUGUGUCCAACCUUCUGACAGUGCAGUGGGACACUGUUCUCUACAGAGUCCAGGCUCAAGAACCUCACGGUCCAGUUACAAAAACAACGAAACUGUUAAAAAGCUUUGAGUAAGUUUACAAUUUUGUAUUGUGCCAUUCAUUGCUGUCCUGGGCCACAGGCUGAACAUACCUGCAAGAGCUUCAGCUACGACAGCUGUAAUUUUUAAAAGAUCUCUUAGCUGAGUAGCUCACGGGUCAAACCCUGUAUGUUCCAAGGUUUUGUAUUUACAUGUUUCCCAAAAUACCAUGCUUAUUGUUGCUAUUAUUCAACCAUGCUGCUGUAGCCUUGAGGGAAAUAAACAGAACUGAAGGAAAGGAACCCAGAGGUUAAACACUGUCGUCAUCUUCGCAUGGUGAGGGAUCGAGUCCCAGUUCAAGACUUCAGGGAAGGGCAUUCCCAAGCCACGUAGCAACAUUUACGGCUUGUAAAACUUAAACUGUGAUAGUUGUGAGGACUUAAAUGAUUAAUAUUAACAUAGAUGCUAUGCUAAUUAAUAUGCUAAAUUUAAUGCAUGUGAACAUAUGAUGCUACAAAGAUGACCACAGUCUUUACAAAGAGCAAAAGAAUAAAACCAACCAACCAACCCAAGGGUUUUGUUACUCGUGCCCCUGUACUCUAUCACUAGCUAAACAGACCUUUGUUGUUUCUGAAAUGCUCCCUUUUCCAGUUUCUGCACUACCUAAGGAUGCAAGUGUGAGAGCAGACAGGCAGCAGGUGGCCCUGUGUGAGCAGGGGCCGGAGAAGGACGGGAAGUGUCCAUGCAGGCACACAGGCGGCCACUGCAAGUGCAGCAGGAACCCCUGGACCGCAGAGGGAUUCUUGCUGCUCUCAACACAUGUGUUGUGGGAACAGCUAGGUACUUGUGAUACUAAGGAGGCUGCUUCUUGCAGCUGCUCUGCUGCUGAGUUAGCAAUUGUCCCAGAAUACAGAGUGGGGUCCUUUAGCUUGCGUAGCAUUCCACCCUUUAUUGGAAAUGCUCCAGCGCUGUGUAAGAGGACCUGAAGCGCAUUCUCUUGAGCCUUGCAAAGAGCUGCUGGGACAGUACUGUCCAGUCCACUAAGCUCACACCUCUUGCCCCCAGUGGAGUCAAAGACGCUCAUUUGGUGCACGUCCUCCACAAGGCUGUCUUCACACUGGGGGAUGUUCUGGAGUCUUGCUAGGUUGUACCAGGUCCUCUUUUCCUCUGCUCACAAUGUCUUUAUGGGUUGAACAUUAACUGCAGUAAUAUUUGAGGUACCUGUUGAAUUUUUAAAGGCAGAUUAUUUAUUUUUAAGUUUGCUGCUAUAAUCGAAACCUAAUAAUGUCCUGUUGACUGUGCCUUUCAUAACUGUCUCUGUGCUACAACUGUCCAUGUGUAUUUGACAUAAAGAUGUUUGAAAAGCUAUGUUGAAUCAAGAUUCCUUCUAAUAAAAAUGGCUUAAACCAAAAAAAAAAAUAAA